GGCGAACGCUGGCGGCGUGCUUAACACAUGCAAGUCGAACGGAACGGCCCUGCUUUUGUGGGGUGCUCGAGUGGCGAACGGGUGAGUAACACGUGAGUAACCUGCCCUUGACUUUGGGAUAACUUCAGGAAACUGGGGCUAAUACCGGAUAGGAGCUCCUGCUGCAUGGUGGGGGUUGGAAAGUUUCGGCGGUUGGGGAUGGACUCGCGGUGGAUCAGCUAGUUGGUAGGGUAGUAGCCUACAAAGGAGAUGAUGGGUAGCUGGUCUGAGAGGAGGACCAGCCAAACUGGGACUGAGACACGGCGCAGACUUCUACGGGAGGCAGCAGUGGGGAAGAUUGGACAAUGGGCGAAAGCCUGAUCCAGCAAUGCCGCGUGAGUGAUGAAGGCCUUAGGGUUGUAAAGCUCUUUUACCCGGGAUGAUAAUGAGAGUAACGGGAGAAUAAGAUCGGGCUAACUCCGUG
rnacentral:rRNA from 1 species